rnacentral:rRNA from 1 species
ACACACCGCCCGUCACACCACGAGAGUUUACAACACCCGAAGUCAGUGGCCUAACCGCAAGGAGGGAGCUGCCUAAGGUGGGGUAGAUGAUUGGGGUGAAGUCGUAACAAGGUACC